GAUGAACGCUGGCGGCGUGCCUAAUACAUGCAAGUCGAGCGAACGGACGAGAAGCUUGCUUCUCUGAUGUUAGCGGCGGACGGGUGAGUAACACGUGGAUAACCUACCUAUAAGACUGGGAUAACUUCGGGAAACCGGAGCUAAUACCGGAUAAUAUUUUGAACCGCAUGGUUCAAAAGUGAAAGACGGUCUUGCUGUCACUUAUAGAUGGAUCCGCGCUGCAUUAGCUAGUUGGUAAGGUAACGGCUUACCAAGGCAACGAUGCAUAGCCGACCUGAGAGGGUGAGCGGCCACAAGGGAGUUGUGACACGGUCCAGACGGAUACGGGAGGCAGAAGGAGGGGAUGGGGAGCAAGGGUCGAAAGAUUGAAGGAUCCAUGAAUAGUGAGUAAAGAAGGGCUUCGGAAAGUAAAAACCUUUUAUGAGGGAAAAAAAAAUAAGCAAGGAACAACGCACGGCCGGACGGUAAAUAAUCAGAAAGACACAACGCAUUACGGC
rnacentral:rRNA from 1 species